rnacentral:rRNA from 1 species
UACGUAGGGUGCAAGCGUUGUCCGGAAUUAUUGGGCGUAAAGAGCUCGUAGGCGGUUUGUCGCGUCUGCUGUGAAAACUCGGGGCUUAACUCCGGGCCUGCAGUGGGUACGGGCAGACUAGAGUGCGGUAGGGGAGACUGGAAUUCCUGGUGUAGCGGUGAAAUGCGCAGAUAUCAGGAGGAACACCGGUGGCGAAGGCGGCUAUCUGGGCAUUACCUGACGCUGAGGAGCGAAAGUGUGGGGAGCGAACAGG